rnacentral:lncRNA from 1 species
GCUGGAGAUCGGACGGAUGCUACGUCGUCCCGUUAAUCUCAGGUUACAGAGCAUUAGCAGAGCCAAGUAGGAAUACAUAUACUCAGUCUAACAAUUGUGUUUACUCUUUUUUAUCUUCAUAUUCAUCGAGGAAUUUCUCGAGGUGAAAAGAGAAGAAUAACCGCCGAAUACGAAACGUAAACAGCCAAGCACCGAGCAUUCGACACUUCUAAGAGAUGUACGCAGAGAGAUCUCAUUCCCCUUCCGUCCUUCAACGAGUAAUGAUCUAACGAACGUGACGUAUUAAACUAU